rnacentral:misc_RNA from 1 species
GCAAACUUGGUCAUUUAGAGGAAGUAAAAGUCGUAACAAGGUUUCUGUAGGUGAACCUGCGGAAGGAUUAUUAACGAGAAAACUGCCUUUUAGGUAGAUCUCCUACCCUUUGUCUCAAUUACCUUUGUUGCUUUGGCAGGCCCGUCUUCUAACUACCGGCUUGAGCUGGUCUGUACCUGCUAGAGGAUACCAAACUCUUAAUUUCAAGUUGUCCAAGUCUUAUAAAAUAGUAAAAACUUUCAACAACGGAUCUCUAGGUUCUAGCAUCGAUGAAGAACGCAGC